rnacentral:rRNA from 1 species
UACGGAGGGUGCAAGCGUUAUCCGGAUUCACUGGGUUUAAAGGGUGCGUAGGUGGGCAAGUAAGUCAGUGGUGAAAUCUCCGGGCUUAACCCGGAAACUGCCAUUGAUACUAUUUGUCUUGAAUACUGUGGAGGUCAGCGGAAUAUGUCAUGUAGCGGUGAAAAUGCUUAGAUAUGACAUAGAACACCAAUUGCGAAGGCAGCUGGCUACACAAAUAUUGACACUGAGGCACGAAAGCGUGGGGAUCAAACAGA